rnacentral:lncRNA from 1 species
GUCUCGAUGGAGGAGCAAGAAACGGAAGAGGUCGGGGGGAGAAGCAGCAGGAAAAAUACAGCCACCGUCAGCGCCGCCUCCCUGCCACGGUGUAUCGGGGUAAAAAGCUGCCAUUGCCGUCGGUGCAGUUGCCGUUGCUGCCUCCUACUUCUUUGGCCCCGGGGAAGGAUUUCCCCGCCGGCGGGACUGUGUGCGGGGAGGGGAGCGGGAAUUCCUUUAUGUGGCGGUGAUUAAAUAAGGGAGGGACAGAGAGACGGUUAUCUCGAAGAAAAAGGGGAGGCCAAAGAAUAAAUGGUUUCCCCAAACUAAAAUGACACGGUGAUUCCGGUUCUUGUUUUCGGGGGUCUCUCCCCGAAAUGGCGCUUUCUGUCUUCUCGCUACCCAGCGACCCUGAGCGCCUAGUAAGCGGAGUGGGGAGAGGCAGAGGCGGUCCACGCAGCCAAUCAGUGCCUGAUGUGUCUGUCGUGCGCCUAGUGAUUGGUUCGCGAUGACCUCAUGCUGCAGCAGCGGGUGGGGCCAGAGCCUUCGGGGGAGGCUGUUGCACAGGCAGAGGGAGAGGUGACGAUGGUGGUCGUUGUCGCCGCGGCCGGUAUGGAGCACAAGCAGUGGCGAGGGGAAUCUCAAGGCUCUUCCCUGUUUUCUCCUGUCCUUGCGCGAGGUGAGGGCCCCGGCUCGGCCUCUGCGGAUCUUUGGGGCGCUGGCGCGGACGAGGAGACACAAAUUCUCCCAUGACUUUUGUAACUGCGUCAGGGCAAGAUGGCGCUGGGUCUCCUUGGGGCGCGGGGGGAGAGGCACGUCCACCGCCGCCGCAGCGCAUGUGACCGGGCUGCAUUCCUGUGGGGUUUGGCUCAGACCCAGGCCGGGGCGGGGGAGGGGAAAGGGCUGGGGCGGAGGAGACUGUGGUGCGGUCGACGUUGGCGGCCUGAAGAGGAAGAGAUGGCUGUUUGAGAGCGCUUCCCCUCCCCCAUACUGCUUAGCCGCUGUGGCUCCUGGGGAAAGCCCCCGGAGGGACGCUCCUCCUGGGGUGUGAUGGCUGGUGGUGGAGGGAAAGGUUUGGCGCCCUAUUUUCUUCUCUGCCUUUCUCCUUGCGAAGUAUACUUACGUAAGAUGGCAGGUCCCCGAUGUGGGAGUCGAAAUCCACCGUGAGUCCGAAAGGCCACUGGACUGAGUAGAAAGGAGAGUCUGGUUCCUGGGCCACAGAAUGGAGGAGUAUCGAGUGUUUUUUGAGAAAACCUAAAUUUCAGAUCCAAAUAGUGUGAUAUUCCCUAAGUUUCGAAGUACGCGUAUAAGGCGAGGUAACACCCGGGAACACUUUUCAAUAAUCUAAAAGCUACAAGAAACCAAGGAGUAUAUAUCUGAAUUUUGAAGGCCAUUUUCAUACUUCCUAUUCCUUCCGUCUUAACUUUCUUCCCGUUUCUACUCUGUAUAUCCUACAAGAAUGUUAAUCUUAUCAGUGGAUUUGUUUUUUAAUUUAGACGUGAUUAGUAAUACAGAAUAAAAGUUGCUAGUGUUAUCUGUGUGUAGUUGUGAGGCUGUUUUCAAUACUUAGUGUUCCGUUUUUUGUUGUUGUUGCCCUCUUACUAUCGUUUUUAAAAAUAAAAGAUGAAAUUGUGAUCACUUUUGGUAAAUGUUAUUCAUUAAGAUUCCUGAACCAUUAUGAAAUAUUAAACCUACCUCUUUAAAUCAUUUUUUUUAAAUGAGUUUUAGUGUUUGGAACCUUGUAAAAGUGAAGAUCUCCAGCAUCUCAAAAGUUCUUAUGUUCUAUUUUGACAUAUUCAGUAAGAAAGACUAAUAUUGUUUUGACUCUUCCCACUUGGCUAUUAGUAGCUAUUAACCAGAGAAGAUUUAAAAGAGCUUUGCUCCUUGGGUGGUGUUGAGAGCUGGGGGUUAAUCAGCAAAGACUUUUGCAUCUAAAACCUGACAAUUUUUGACUGAAAACCUACAUUUAGUGCUAGGAGGAAAUGUUUGUUGGACCUGAAAAGAUGAGUUUAAUCUGGAGUUAAGGUUGUGCUGUUUGCUUUAGUCUUCGUUGUAGAAUUGGUAGAAAUAAAACAAGAUUGAGUGCAAAUGAUUUUAAAAGUUCAAAAAUAUUUUCGUCCCCUCUGAAUAUAAAUGGGCAUUUUGCCUGUAGGAAUUCUUGGAUAAUUUACAUUUAAAGCAAUUUUGUUCCAGUUUAGAAAAGAGGAACUAAAUAUUAAGUCAGUCAUUUAAAAGUAAUUUUCAGAAUGUUAUAGUGUCACUGUAGCUUAAUAAGGAAAAGAGGUCAUAUUUCAAGCUAGUGGAAACAAAUCCUUGUUUUGUAUUUUUAAUAAGUUUGUGUCCUCAUUCCUCAUUGUGAAAUCCAUGAACCUCUUGAGCUCUAAUUUUUCUUUAUAUUCCUGUGGCAUUUUAAAUACUGCUUGCAGUUCUUGUCUUUGUCUACCUUCUUGCAUUAUAUAUUCUCCCUGGAAGUUUCAUUUGUGCCUAUUAUUUUCUAAUUAAAGGCCCAACCUUUCAUCUCAGAGCUGCAUGGGCCACAGGCUUCUUUAAACUCAAAAAUAUUAAGCUUGGUACUUGAUUCCUAAGGACUUCAUCUGUUCCCUAAACAUUUUUUUGCCUCUCAUCCUACAUUUUAUAUGAAUAAUCAUACUCCAACUUUCUUCACUCUAUUUUUGUUCAAAUUUUCAUUUUUUUGGACGGUUGCAGUAAUUUUCUAAGGUAGCAGGCAUCCCAGUAAACUAAAACGCCUAUGAUCUAAUGCUGUGCUGUUUGAUGCCUUUGUCCACACUACCUGGAUGAAGUGCCUCUUCUCUCUUGGGAAGCAUAACUUGAGUCCUUCCCUCUGUAACUCUUUCAAAUCCCCACUCCCAAGUAAAAUGAGCCAUUCUUUAUAUUGAUGACCCAGCCCAGUGCUUGACCCUUGGAAGGCAUUGAGAUGUACAUGUUUCUUUAGAGACUGAUAACAAAACUUUACAAAUAGACUGUGUUGGUCCAUACUGUAAAAUACUGGCUUUCAGACUUCAAAACUAAACUUUUUUUGACCAUAGAGUUUUGAGAAGAGAUAAAGGGUUAAUGAGACUCAGUGGCAAGAUUUCCUCCUCUUUCACGUGUGGGUUGGGGUGGGGAGGCAGAUAGUGCUGCCCAAAAAAAAUAUAAAAAAAAAACUGGCCUUAAGUUUGUGUUGUGGCUCAGUGGUAACAAAGCCAACUAGUAUAAUGAGGACUCGGGUUCGAUCCCUGGCCCCACUCAGUGCUUUAAGGAUCCAGCAUUGCUGUGAACUGUGGCAAGUUGCAGAUGUGGCUCGGAUCUGGCAUUGCUGUGGCUAUGGUGGAGGCCAGCAGGUGCAGCUCUGAUUCAACCUUCUAGCUUGGGAACUUCAAUAUGCUCUAAAAAGCAAAAAAAAAAAAAAACCUUGAUCUGUUUGGGGUUGAUCAAGUUGCUAGUACUCUUUACUCUGAUACCCAAUAUGUUUGCCCUUGUGUUUUUGUCACUUUUCUUAUUUUCAUUUAUGUAUCACUCUGCCACCCUUUAGUAACAACAUGUUUUAUGCAUUAGAAGGUUAGCAUUCCAAUAAUAGGAUUUAUUAACAUUGUGUGUAAAAUAAAGCUUUGCAAUAAGAUUUAUGAAUCAAACUGAGAUUUUAGCAUAAACACUAAUGACCUUUUUAUCUGCUCUUUAAGUUUUUGGGGGGAUUUUUGAAAAUCUUUUUUUUUUUUUUAAUCUUUUGACAUAUUUGCUGAAACUAAACUCAAAGUAAGAAAAUACUUGAUUUAUGUGUGACUUUCCUGAGAGAUAAUAAGUUUACUAAGUACCUAAAAAACAUUUUGAAAGUUAACUGACUUUUACAAACCAAAAAGAACAGGUCCAUGGUCUCUUCCCUGCUGGCUAUGUUGAGUUCAAGUUUGAAACAUUGUUAAUUUCACCUGGAAACCAGGAAAACUGAUAGUAUUCUGCUUCCACCUAAAUGAAACCAGUAGGAAGGUGGCAAAAGCUUACAGAGUGCACCAUUUUCUGGAGUGAUCUAAGAAAUAUCUUAUGCCAUUUUUUCUUCAAUGCUUAUGAUUGCUAUAAACUCUGCAUACCUAAGUGCUUAUCUAGCAUUUGUAUUUCUUACAAGAGAAAACUGGGUGAGGGGGUUGUUUGCUCCUUUAUUAUGUGUGCACUACAGAACAGAAAAGGAUAUGGUCAACAUUGUCUUUUUGAGGUAUAGAAUCAAUGAACAACUAUCUUUUAUAUGGUGCUGGUCCUGAUAAAUCAGUUAUGGACCUAGGGUAAAUGGUAUCUUACCAACUGAAGCUUAAAUCAAGUUAAAUUAUAUAGAAAUUUAUCCUAGAGAUUAUAUCACUUUAAUUUUUUUCAGUGUCACUUUAAUAUUUUUUUAUCCUCAGAAGUAUUUAUUUUUAAAGGUACCCCACCCAAAGUACACUGAUAGUGGUGUCUCAGAUGUAAAAACAUAUUCUGCUUUUCCCCUUUCAGUUGCUUUGUUCCUGGGAUAGAUUGGAAUUCCAGCUCUAAUUUCAAUCAAAUAAUUUGCAUUUCUACUAUAUUUAAGAAACAUGGAACAUAAUUCCUAUCCCUCACCUUUUCGGUUAGGUUGAUAAACUAUUCAGUAGUUUAUAACAAUCCUUUAAAAAAUUGAAUGGCUAAAAAGAGAUAACUCUACCCAUUAACAGCAGAAGUCAAGGGUUCACUUGUACCAGCUUUUGACUUUCACUGUGUAAAAUUAACUAGUUCCCUUAUCUCCAGACUCAGCCUUUUUAAGUUUUAAUCUUGGGGAAUAAGAAAAAGACUAUCUGCAAUUAUUUACGUUUAUAACAUUUUGUGAAACGUCUGUGCUUUUGUGUGCUCCAGAUGUGGGUGGUCUUACAUAACCUAUAGCAUUUGAUUACUUAGAAAAUACCCCCUUAAAACUCCUGGUUUCUAUGCUUUAUUAGUUGCUACUCUUGUCCUUCAUGUUUUCACUGGUUGCUUUCUUUUGCUUCUUAAUUAUUAUUUCCUAGUGUUAUAUCCCCAGCGACCUUUUCACCAGUUAAUCCCCACACUUUUACUUAUUGAUGACCUCAUAAUUUAUAAUCUCUCAACUCAACUGAAAUUAAGUAUCUUUCAUGUCCCAAAGGUAUUUCAAGCUAAACAAAUUCAAAAUGUAGCUUUUCUCUUUUGCCUGAAAUUCAAAAUGUAGCUUUUCUCUUUCACCUUUUGUUUCCUUUUUUAGUUAAUGAUUCUACUCUUCUAGCUUAAUCUGAAUAAUCAGGCAUCUUUUUCUUUCCUUUUUUUUUUUUUUGGUCUUUAGGGCCGCACCUGCAGCAUAUUGGAGGUCCGAGGCUAGGGGUCCAGUUGGAGCUGCAGUUACACCACAGCCACAGCAACGAGGAAUCCAAGCUGCACCUGUGACCUACACCGCAGCUUAUGGCAGAUCCUUAACCCACUGAUUGAGGUCAGGGAUUGAAAACUCAGCCUCAUGGACACUAGUUGGGUUUGCUACUACUGCUGAGCCACAAUGGGAACUCCCAGACAUAUUUCUAAAUCUUUUUUGCUUAAAAAACUCACUUAGUUCACAAGAUAGGAGCAUCAAGCUCAAAUACACCCUGUGACAUGAAGGGUCCUGCAUCUGGCUUGUGAGCCUCAUGGGUACCACUUGAGGUUAAUAUAACCUUAAUUUAGGAGUUUCCGUUGUCGCUCAGUGGCAACAAACCCAACUAGUUUUCUUGAGGAUGGAGGUUCAAUCCCUGGCCUUGCUCAGUGGGUUAAAGACCCGGCAUUGCAGCAAGCUGUGGCAUAGAUCACAGAUGCAACUUGGAUCUGGUGUUGCUGUGGCAUAGGCCUGCAGCUCAGAUUCAACCCCUAGCCUGGGAACUUCCAUAUGCUGUAGGUGCAGCCAUAAAAAGGAAAAAAAAUCACCCAAGUUUAAAUAUCUGCUUUUAUCUAGAGAAAAUGAGACAUUCCCUUUGGUAAUUCUGUUAUCACUGUCAGGUUCAUGUUCCUCUUUUCUCUUAGUUUAUGAGAUAUUGGUAGGUAGUGUCUCAUUCAUCUUUGUAGCUAAAGUGCAAAGUGUCUGGCAUAUAACAGGCAUUCAGUUUUGUUGCACAAAUAAUAGGUAAUGUGCUUUGAUGCCAAGUGUCUGAAAAUUUUGCCAUAGCGUGUAUUUAUGGUAAUAGCAAGUCACUGAUAAAUAUAUAUCAUGCAAAAGGCUUUGGCUGACUAUAUACCAUUAUGCUACAAAACUUUGAGGGUUUUCUGGUUUUGUUUUCUUCCCCCCCAUUUAACACCUAUUUUUCCUGUGUUGUUAGCCCUCAAUUCUGGUUUCUGCCAUCCAGUUUUCUUCACUUAAAUAUUUGUACCUGUUACUGUGCAAAGUGGGGCUAGUCUCUACUCUGUUAAUUUAUAAUCUAAUUUGGGAUUAAGCCAUGUGGCUAUGUACUCAAAGCAUUCAGCCAGCAACUCGAUUUCCGGGUAAUGUGCUUGGCAGAGGAAACUGAAUUUUUGAACUGAAAGGCAAAAAUAUUUGUGAAUUUCAAUAGUGGUUGGGGUUAGAGGCAGUGAAACAGAAUGUAUUUGCAGCCAGCAUGGCUUUAUGUGCAAUGGCAUAGAACAGGAAUAGAGAAAAUAUGCUUUAAAUAUAAGAAAUCCAUUUGACUAGGUUGCCUAAAGGACACUGAAAGAUAAGGCUGGCAAAGACAGUGGAUUGGAACCAUAUCAUUUCAUUGUUUUUUAUCUAGAGUCCUUUGCCAGUGAAGCUUAAAUCAUUUAUUUUUCUUUUUCCUCUUAUUUUGAGGAAAUAAAAAGGGAAAUGAUAGGCUUAAGUAUUACGGUAGACCCAGAUCCUACUAACUCCACAGUGGAAAUUGAACAAUUAGUGAAGAGUCUGUCAUGAACUAAGUUAUAGAUAUCAUUCCUAAUAUUUAUCUCAAUUUUAGAUGGGGUUAGGGUUAGAAAGUUUUUGUUUUUUCUUUUCUACUGCCGCACCUGUGCCAUAUGGAAAUUCCGGGGCCAGGGAAUUGGAGCUGCAGCUUAUGGCAAUGCUGGAUCCUUAACUCACUAAGCCAUGCCAGGGAUCAAACCCACAUCAUCAACAGAGACAACAUCGGGUCCUUAAGCUGGAGUGCCACAAUGGGAACUCUACUAUUUUAUUUUUUAUCACAUUUUUUCCUUUCUGGCUGCAAAUGAGAGAGCAGUUAUGAGAUUUAGUGUGAGGCCUUCUCUUUCUCAUUUAUGCUCACCUGUUAUGCUCUACUUGAUCUUGAUUGACUUCAUUUCCUCUCUGUAAAUUACUUAAUUAUCUACAUAUGUAUAGCUUACUGUCUGACAGCCUUAGAUGACAAGCUAAAUGAUAACCAUUGCUAUUGAUAAAUACUUGAGAGUCCUGACAAUUUUUUUGUGCUGGGAAUGUGUGAAGCACAGGCAACCUAUGGUUUAUACCUAUACGGCAAAGGCUAGAACUUGUCGCUUUGCUGCUGUGUCAGAAAAUAUAUCUCGAUUCCUGAUUUCCUUAUUAAAAUUUUAGGCC